UACGUAGGUGGCAAGCGUUGUCCGGAUUUACUGGGCGUAAAGAGCGCGCAGGCGGUCGAUCAAGUCGCGUGUGAAAGCCCCCGGCUCAACUGGGGAGGGUCACGCGAUACUGAUCGACUCGAAGGCAGGAGAGGGUAGUGGAAUUCCCGGUGUAGUGGUGAAAUGCGUAGAUAUCGAGAGGAACACCUGCGGCGAAGGCGGGUUGCUGGGCUGACACUGACGCUGACAGCGCGAAAGCUAGGGGAGCGAACGGG
rnacentral:rRNA from 1 species